rnacentral:rRNA from 1 species
UAUGACGCUGGCGGCAGGCCUAACACAUGCAAGUCGAACGGUAACAUUNGUAGCUUGCUAGAAGAUGACGAGUGGCGGACGGGUGAGUAAUGCUUGGGAACUUGCCUUUGCGAGGGGGAUAACAGUUGGAAACGACUGCUAAUACCGCAUAAUGUCUUCGGACCAAACGGGGCUUCGGCUCCGGCGCAAAGAGAGGCCCAAGUGAGAUUAGCUAGUUGGUAAGGUAACGGCUUACCAAGGCGACGAUCUCUAGCUGUUCUGAGAGGAAGAUCAGCCACACUGGGACUGAGACACGGCCCAGACUCCUACGGGAGGCAGCAGUGGGGAAUAUUGCACAAUGGGGGAAACCCUGAUGCAGCCAUGCCGCGUGUGUGAAGAAGGCCUUCGGGUUGUAAAGCACUUUCAGUUGUGAGGAAAAGUUAGUAUGUUAAUACCUGUUAGCCGUGACGUUAACAACAGAAGAAGCACCGGCUAACUCCGUGCCAGCAGCCGCGGUAAUACGGAGGGUGCGAGCGUUAAUCGGAAUUACUGGGCGUAAAGCGCACGCAGGCGGUUUGUUAAGCUAGAUGUGAAAGCCCCGGGCUCAACCUGGGAUGGUCAUUUAGAACUGGCAGACUAGAGUCUUGGAGAGGGGAGUGGAAUUCCAGGUGUAGCGGUGAAAUGCGUAGAUAUCUGGAGGAACAUCAGUGGCGAAGGCGACUCCCUGGCCAAAGACUGACGCUCAUGUGCGAAAGUGUGGGUAGCGAACAGGAUUAGAUACCCUGGUAGUCCACACCGUAAACGCUGUCUACUAGCUGUGUGUGNCUUUAAGNCGUGCGUAGCGAAGCUAACGCGCUAAGUAGACCGCCUGGGGAGUACGGCCGCAAGGUUA